UGUGAUGGGUAGGGGAGCGUCGUGUGCCGGGUGAAGCUGCCGCGUAAGCGAGUGGUGGACGGUUCACGAGUGAGAAUGCAGGCAUGAGUAGCGAUUCACACGUGAGAAACGUGUGCGCCGAUUGACUAAGGGUUCCUGGGUCAAGCUGAUCUGCCCAGGGUAAGUCGGGACCUAAGGCGAGGCCGACAGGCGUAGUCGAUGGAUAACCGGUUGAUAUUCCGGUACCCGCUGUGAAGCGUCAAACAUUGAAUCCAGUGAUGCUAAGCCCGUGAAGCCGCCCUGAUCUCUUCGGAGUUGAGGGGAGUGGUGGAGCCGGUGACCCAGGCUGGUAGUAGGUGAGUGAUGGGGUGACGCAGGAAGGUAGUCCAUCCCGGGCGGUGGUUGUCCCGGGGUAAGGGUGUAGGACGUCGGGUAGGUAAAUCCGCCUGGCACAUAGUCUGAGACCUGAUGCCGAGCCGAUUGUGGUGAAGUGGAUGAUCCUAUGCUGUCGAGAAAAGCCUCUAGCGAGUUUCAUGGCGGCCCGUACCCUAAACCGACUCAGGUGGUCUGGUAGAGAAUACCGAGGCGUUCGGGUGAACUAUGGUUAAGGAACUCGGCAAAAUGCCCCCGUAACUUCGGGAGAAGGGGGGCCACGCUUGGUGAUCCGAUUUACUCGGUGAGCUGGGGGUGGCCGCAGAGACCAGCGAGAAGCGACUGUUUACUAAAAACACAGGUCCGUGCGAAGCCGUAAGGCGAUGUAUACGGACUGACGCCUGCCCGGUGCUGGAACGUUAAGGGGACCGGUUAGCUGACUUUCGGGUUGGCGAAGCUGAGAACUUAAGCGCCAGUAAACGGCGGUGGUAACUAUAACCAUCCUAAGGUAGCGAAAUUCCUUGUCGGGUAAGUUCCGACCUGCACGAAUGGCGUAACGACUUCUCGACUGUCUCAACCAUAGGCCCGGUGAAAUUGCAUUACGAGUAAAGAUGCUCGUUUCGCGCAGCAGGACGGAAAGACCCCGGGACCUUUACUACAGUUUGAUAUUGGUGUUCGGUUCGGCUUGUGUAGGAUAGGUGGGAGACUGUGAAGCGGCCACGCCAGUGGUUGUGGAGUCGUUGUUGAAAUACCACUCUGGUCGUGCUGGAUGUCUAACCCGGGUCCGUGAUCCGGAUCGGGGACAGUGUCUGAUGGGUAGUUUAACUGGGGCGGUUGCCUCCUAAAGAGUAACGGAGGCGCCCAAAGGUUCCCUCAGCCUGGUUGGUAAUCAGGUGGUGAGUGUAAGUGCACAAGGGAGCUUGACUGUGAGACCGACGGGUCGAGCAGGGACGAAAGUCGGGACUAGUGAUCCGGCGGUGGCUUGUGGAAGCGCCGUCGCUCAACGGAUAAAAGGUACCCCGGGGAUAACAGGCUGAUCUUCCCCAAGAGUCCAUAUCGACGGGAUGGUUUGGCACCUCGAUGUCGGCUCGUCGCAUCCUGGGGCUGGAGUCGGUCCCAAGGGUUGGGCUGUUCGCCCAUUAAAGCGGUACGCGAGCUGGGUUUAGAACGUCGUGAGACAGUUCGGUCCCUAUCCGCUGUGCGCGUAGGAAUAUUGAGAAGGGCUGUCCCUAGUACGAGAGGACCGGGACGGACGAACCUCUGGUGUGCCAGUUGUUCUGCCAAGGGCAUGGCUGGUUGGCUACGUUCGGGAGGGAUAACCGCUGAAAGCAUCUAAGCGGGAAGCCUGCUUCGAGAUGAGUAUUCCCACCUCCUUGAGAGGGUAAGGCUCCCAGUAGACGACUGGGUUGAUAGGCCGGAUAUGGAAGCCCUGUAAGGGGUGGAGUUGACCGGUACUAAUAGGCCGAGGGCUUGUCCUC
rnacentral:rRNA from 1 species